UACAGAGGGUGCGAGCGUUAAUCGGAAUUACUGGGCGUAAAGCGCGCGUAGGCGGCUUGUUAAGUCGGAUGUGAAAUCCCUGGGCUCAACCUAGGCAUUGCAUUCGAUACUGGCAAGCUAGAGUAUGGGAGAGGAAGGUAGAAUUCCAGGUGUAGCGGUGAAAUGCGUAGAGAUCUGGAGGAAUACCGAUGGCGAAGGCAGCCUUCUGGCCUAAUACUGACGCUGAGGUGCGAAAGCAUGGGGAGCAAACAG
rnacentral:rRNA from 1 species